CAUGACUUGAGGGAGUCUCGUAAAUUCAAGGACUUUGUUUCGAGUUGUAUGCUGUUCGUAUUGAAAAAGCAAUCUGGGUGGCCCUCAGAUACUGACAGCUUCAGCUGCAGACUCCUGCUAUGCCGAUCCCCAGGACUUGGAGAAGUGGCAGAUGUUCUUCAGUGCACAGUGUGCAUGUUCGUACAUAUCCAACCCUACAAUCUGCUCGGUGCAAUUACAAGAUGGAUUAACGGUUCUUUCAAGCGUCUUCAUCAUCACCUUCCAUGCCUUGGAGGAAUCUGAAAAUGCUGUGUUCCUGGAUGAGAAUCACAUCCAAUUACUGCUUAAUAAAUGAACGGGAGACUUGCAGCACAAUUUAGGUAGAUUUAAUCUGCUGCGAAUGAACUCACUGUGUAGAUUUUAAGAUUAUUUUCUUCAUCUGUAUAAUGUAGAUCAUUUACAUCCUGGAAAA